UCGAGGAUCUUCGGCAAUGGGCGCAAGCCUGACCGAGCGACGCCGCGUGUGCGAAGAAGGCCUUCGGGUUGUAAAGCACUGUCGAGGGGGAGAAAGCCCGCAAGGGUUGAUCGACCCCUGGAGGAAGCACGGGCUAAGUUCGUGCCAGCAGCCGCGGUAAGACGAACCGUGCGAACGUUGUUCGGAUUCACUGGGCUUAAAGGGCGCGUAGGCGGGCUGUCAAGUCGGUGGUGAAAUCUUUCGGCUCAACCGGAAGACGGCCUCCGAUACUGGCAGCCUCGAGGGGGGUAGGGGCAUGCGGAACUUCGGGUGGAGCGGUGAAAUGCGUAGAUAUCCGAAGGAACGCCGGUGGCGAAAGCGGCGUGCUGGACCCUUUCUGACGCUGAGGCGCGAAAGCCAGGGGAGCAAACGG
rnacentral:rRNA from 1 species